ACCAGGCAUAAGCCAUUCCUACACCUGCCAGGACUGUCCUGUCUUCAUCAUACCUAGCUUAAGCCAAUACAAGAAUGAAGGGAGGAGGACUCUGAGCCUUGGUUGGCUCUAAGCCUUCACCCAAAUGAUCCUGAAAAUAAUUGUAGUGAUAGUAACAACAGCAAAUCUUGAAUAUUUGCUCUCUCUGUGUUAAGCACAAUGCUAAACACACAUACAAUUUAAUGCCCAAAACUCUAGGUAAGUAUUUUUAUCUUGUCUUUAGAAACUCAGGGAUGCU
rnacentral:lncRNA from 1 species